UACGAAGGGUGCAAGCGUUACUCGGAAUUACUGGGCGUAAAGCGCACGUAGGCGGCUUUGCAAGUCAGAGGUGAAAGCCCGGGGCUCAACCCCGGAAUUGCCUUUGAGACUGCAUCGCUAGAAUUGUGGAGAGGUAAGUGGAAUUCCGAGUGUAGAGGUGAAAUUCGUAGAUAUUCGGAAGAACACCAGUGGCGAAGGCGACUCACUGGACACGUAUUGACGCUGAGGUGCGAAAGCGUGGGGAGCAAGCAGG
rnacentral:rRNA from 1 species